UCCAGCAGCCGCGGUAAUUCCAGCUCCAAUAGCGUAUAUUAAAAUUGUUGCAGUUAAAAAGCUCGUAGUUGAAUUUCUGCUAAAAAUAACCGGUCUGCUUUUAAUAAAGGUGGUAUCUUGGUGUGUUUUUAGCAAUAAUGUCCUUUGAAAUGUUUUUUACUUCAUUGUAAUAAAUUAUAUUUAGGAUUUUUACUUUGAGAAAAUUAGAGUGUUUCUAGCAGGCUAAUGCUUUGAAUACUGCAGCAUGGAAUAAUAAAAUAGGAUUUUGGUUCUACAUUAUUGGUUUUAAGAGCUAAAUUAAUGAUUGAUAGGGACAGUUGGGGGCAUUUGUAUUUAACUGUCAGAGGUGAAAUUCUUAGAUUUGUUAAAGACAAACUACUGCGAAAGA
rnacentral:rRNA from 1 species